rnacentral:rRNA from 1 species
ACGCUCGACACCUACGGAGGCAGCAGUAGGGAAUCUUCCACAAUGGGCGCAAGCCUGAUGGAGCAACACCGCGUGAGUGAAGAAGGGUUUCGGCUCGUAAAGCUCUGUUGUUGGAGAAGAACGUGCGUGAGAGUAACUGUUCACGCAGUGACGGUAUCCAACCAGAAAGUCACGGCUAACUACGUGCUAGCAGCCGCGGUAAUCUGAGCGGGCUGGCAAGGC